CGUCUUGAUUCAGUCAAAUCUUCUAUCCUAGAUCUCCUGAACUCCAACAUUCUUCUACAUAUCGGUACAUAUGUGAAUGUUUGGCUUGCUGGUCUUCAGCAUGCUUUGAAUGCAGUAUCUGGUUUCUCUUACUUUAACCCGCCCAACUUGCACCUGAUUGGCAUGUUAGCCUUUUGAUUCCCUCCCAGUGAGGCGGUGCUUCACAAAGCAAACUGUUUGUCAAACCGUUGAUCUGCCUGGUGGCUGUUUCAGAAGAUGAGGAAACACGGUGACUGAGUUUUAGACAGUACUGGUUUUAGACAGUACUUUUUAUUGUAGCUGCUCAUGUAGCUUUUUUUUUUUUUUACUGGAUGGCAGUCCUAAAAGUACAUGUCUUUAAAAUAUGAAUAAAUACGUACAAUUCCAUAGUUAUUUGAUCCAGCGGUUAUAGAAGUUUGGUAAUAAUGCAAUUCUGGCAUUGUGCUUUCUUAAUUUUUUUCACUUAGUUCCACGACUGCAGUGGAUUUUAUAGUCAAUGUUAAAAUCCAACACAGAGUCUGAAGCGAUGGAGGAAAUUUAUGUCAAUAUGGAACCUGUUGGACAAACUGCAUCUAAUCACACAGGUAAGAAUGAAGUUACAGAGAAAUCUAGUAUGUAUGUUAUUCAAUUUUUUCUAAUGUUAAGGUUUUUGUUAAGGUUGGAGCAGCUCCAAAGAGAGGCUCGGCCUCGGUGUGGUCGUAUUCUUGGGAUUCCUGAAUGUUUUUAUUCUGGCUGAACUCAUAGGCCUCAGUGUACACACUCAUAACAUGACAGCAGAUUUUUCUGACAUCGGCAACAUGCUGACUGAACAGAACAGCAAGUUUCUCUCCAUGAACUCUAACUUCA